GGACAACCUGCCCAAAGGUCCGGGAUAACCCCGGGAAACUGGGGAUAAUACCGGAUAAAUCACAAGUACUGGAAGGUUUUGUGGUUGAAACUUCCGGGGCCUUUGGAUGGGUCUGCGGCUGAUUAGGUUGUUGCCGGUGUAACGUACCGUCAAGCCUGUAAUCAGUACGGGUUGUGGGAGCAAGAGCCCGGAGAUGGAUUCUGAGACACGAAUCCAGGCCCUACGGGGCGCAGCAGGCGCGAAAACUCUACAAUGCAGGCAACUGCGAUAGGGGAACAUCGAGUGAUACUCAUCUUGGGUGUCUGUCCUCCCGUCUAAAAAACGGGAGUUAGCAAGGGCCGGGCAAGACCGGUGCCAGCCGCCGCGGUAAUACCGGCGGCUCGAGUGGUGGCCGAUAUUAUUGAGUCUAAAGGGUCCGUGGCCGGCUUUGCAAGUCUUUUGGGAAAUCCAGCGGCUUAACCGUUGGUCGUCCGGGAGAUACUACAUUGCUUGGGACUGGGAGAGGUAGGAGGUACUCAGGGGGUAGGAGUGAAAUCCUGUAAUCCUUUGGGGACCACCGGUGGCGAAGGCGUCCUACCAGAACAGGUCCGACGGUGAGGGACGAAAGCUAGGGGCACGAACCGGAUUAGAUACCCGGGUAGUCCUAGCCGUAAACGAUACUCGCUAGGUGUCA
rnacentral:rRNA from 1 species